AUUGAACGCUGGCGGCAUGCCUAACACAUGCAAGUCGAACGCUUUUUCUUUCACCGGAGCUUGCUCCACCGAAAGAAAAAGAGUGGCGAACGGGUGAGUAACACGUGGGUAACCUGCCCAUCAGAAGGGGAUAACACUUGGAAACAGGUGCUAAUACCGUAUAACACUAUUUUCCGCAUGGAAGAAAGUUGAAAGGCGCUUUUGCGUCACUGAUGGAUGGACCCGCGGUGCAUUAGCUAGUUGGUGAGGUAACGGCUCACCAAGGCCACGAUGCAUAGCCGACCUGAGAGGGUGAUCGGCCACACUGGGACUGAGACACGGCCCAGACUCCUACGGGAGGCAGCAGUAGGGAAUCUUCGGCAAUGGACGAAAGUCUGACCGAGCAACGCCGCGUGAGUGAAGAAGGUUUUCGGAUCGUAAAACUCUGUUGUUAGAGAAGAACAAGGAUGAGAGUAGAACGUUCAUCCCUUGACGGUAUCUAACCAGAAAGCCACGGCUAACUACGUGCCAGCCGCCGCAGUAA
rnacentral:rRNA from 1 species